rnacentral:rRNA from 1 species
GACGGGAGGGACAAGCAUUAUCCAUCUUGGCUAGGCGUACAGGGCAUCUAGACGGUAUGGCCAGGGCUUUUAGCGAAACACCUGUAGCUCACAGGAAGCGGAAAGUACAACUACCAAACUAGAGUUCGAGAAAGGUGUUGGGAGAAUACUUGGAGUAGGAGUGACAUCCACACAAAACGAGUGGAAUUCCAGUGGUGAAGACACCCAGCAACUACGAACUGACGUUCAUGAUGCGAAGGCAUGGGGAUCAAAUGGG